CCUACGGGAGGCAGCAGUGGGGAAUAUUGGGCAAUGGACGCAAGUCUGACCCAGCAACGCCGCGUGAAGGAAGAAGGCUUUCGGGUUGUAAACUUCUUUUAAGGGGGAAGAGCAGAAGACGGUACCCCGUGAAUAAGCCACGGCUAACUACGUGCCAGCAGCCGCGGUAAUACGGAGGGGGCAAGCGGUAUGCGGAUUGAGUUGGUUGAAAGGGUGUGUAGGGGGACGCUUAAGUCAGCGGUAAAAUUGCGGGGCUCAACCUCGUCGCGCCGUUGAAACGGGGUGCCUUGAGUGGGCGAGCAGUACGCGGACUGCGUGGUGUAGCGGUGAAAUGCAUAGAUAUCACGCAGAACUCCGAUUGCGAAGGCAGCCUACCGGCGCCCAACUGACGCUGACGCACGAAGGCGUGGGUAUCGAACAGGAUUAGAUACCCCAGUAGUC
rnacentral:rRNA from 1 species